rnacentral:rRNA from 1 species
UGAGGAGUUUUGCGCAAUGGGGGAAACCCUGACGCAGCGACACCGCGUGAGUGAUGAAGGCUUUCGAGUCGUAAAGCUCUGUCAAUAGGGAAGAAGUGUGUAUGGGCUAAUACCUCAUGCAUUUGACGGUACCUAUAAAGGAAGCACCGGCUAACUCCGUGCCAGCAGCCGCGGUAA